CUAAGCUCCUGACCCUCAGGGAAAACAAGAAUAAUAUUUUUUUUUUUCCAUCUGAAUAUAAUUUUGCUGUGCUGAUAUAUAGACUUUGAAUCUUUUCACUGUGUGCUUCUUCUUGCACAAGAGCACCUUUCAGAUUGCUGCCUCAUCCCAGCUGUUUAUGGACACCCUUUGACUUCUGCUGUUCUUGGUACCCAUUACUAACUGGGAAGUUUAGGAAGAGGGUGAACAAUUUCUCAGCUGUUGAGUCAGCAUUUGGACAGUGAGGGAAUUCCACCAUUGAAUCUCCAGCACUCUCAGGGGAAAAUUGAUCCUGUGGGUAUAAGACCUCAAAUGUUCCAGCUUGUCUCAAGGUAAAAUGACAUGGUCAAGAUCCCUCAAAAUAUAUAGCUAUCCACGUUCCACUGUUUUCAAAUCAGUGAAAAAUGCAUAUAGUUUUGUGUAACAAGAAAAAGCAGGAAGGCUAGGUGAUUCAGUAACUGCACAUACCACCUAAUCUCUCAGAAAAAUAAUUUCUGGCAUGUCUAUCAAAUAGACGUUGGACUCUUCAUGACUCCUAAAUUAGCGG
rnacentral:lncRNA from 1 species